rnacentral:rRNA from 1 species
ACGGGAGGCAGCAGUGGGGAAUAUUAGGCAAUGGGGGCAACCCUGACCUAGCAACGCCGCGUGAAGGAUGAAGGUUUUCGGAUUGUAAACUUCUUUGGCAGGGGACGAUAAUGACGGUACCCUGAGAACAAGCCACGGCUAACUACGUGCCAGCAGCCGCGGUAAUACGUAGGUGGCGAGCGUUGUCCGGAUUUACUGGGUGUAAAGGGCGAGUAGGCGGGAAUGCAAGUCAGAUGUGAAAUACCGAGGCUUAACCUCGGAGCUGCAUUUGAAACUGCAUUUCUUGAGUGAUGGAGAGGCAGGCGGAAUUCCCGGUGUAGCGGUGAAAUGCAUAGAGAUCGGGAGGAACACCAGUGGCGAAGGCGGCCUGCUGGACAUUAACUGACGCUGAGGCGCGAAAGUGUGGGGAGCAAACAGGAUUAGAUACCCUGGUA